rnacentral:rRNA from 1 species
UACGUAGGGCGCAAGCGUUGUCCGGAAUUAUUGGGCGUAAAGAACUCGUAGGCGGCUUGUUGCGUCGACUGUGAAAUCCCGCGGCUCAACCGUGUGGCUUGCAGUCGAUACGGGCAGGCUAGAGUUCGGUAGGGGAGACUGGAAUUCCUGGUGUAGCGGUGAAAUGCGCAGAGUAUCAGGAGGAACACCGGUGGCGAAGGCGGGUCUCUGGGCCGAUGACUGACGCUGAGGAGCGAAAGCGUGGGGAGCGAACAGG